rnacentral:lncRNA from 1 species
GCCAGAAGGCCCAGGUUUUUGUUGGCUCUUGGCUAGAAGCUGCUCUCAGAUCCUAGACUCUGCCUGAAGUUCCUAGAGGCCACCGGCAGUUCCUUGCCACAUGGGGCUCUCCAUCACAACUGCUUGCAUUAAAUCCUUUCCCUUGUCUACUAAGACAUGUCUUAUAUAGCAUAACAUAAUCACAGGAGUGAUAGUCUAAGUCUUUUGCCAUAUUCUAUCCGUUAGAAGCAUGUCACUAGGUCCAGCCUGCACCAAAGGCAGGGAUAACACAAUGGCAUAGACUUCAGGAAAUCAUUGUGGGUCACAUUAGGAUCUAUUUGCCAUAGUAACAAACCACCCCCAAAAUAUCAUUAACUUAUAAGAAAUGUUUAUGUCUUGCUUAUGUUAUAUGUUGGUGGCUGCAACAGCUGUCGUGGUGCUAUUCCAAGUGUCUUUUCAUCCUAGGAUUCUGGGUAAUGAGCAGCCCUUCUUUGGAAGAUACCACUUGUAUGGUAGCAGGAGCUGAGCAAGAGACUUGAUAGAAACUUUUGACCCCUCUUGAAAGCAACUGCUCAGGUGUAGUGUGUAAGCCCAUUCACAUAACACUGAUCAAAGAACGAUAAGAAGGGACAUACAAUAUCUUNNNNNNNNNNNNNNNNNNNNUCCUUUGUCAAGCGAUAAGUGUCCAAAUAAUUGUAGACUCGAAGGGCGAGAGACAAAGAGGACUACUCACGGCGCCAUCUUGGAAGAAUCCCCGGGACAUACAAUAUCUUGACAGUAAAGGGACGAGCAACUGUUUGUAAACCAUAGGGCAAUCUGAUAAACUGUGAAAGGAAGAUAUUGGAGGACGUUUUGGGGAAUUCACAGAACUGGAAUACCUCAUCAUCUGAUGCUCAGCAAAAUUACUCAUGGGGAGAAAUACCAGUUCUACAAAAGCACCAAGGAGAAAAAGAGGUCUGUUUCAGCAUAUUCAGAAACAUCACGAGUGAAUCAACGACUAAGUACAUCAGAAUUACUUACCACUUCGUAUUUUCUGUGACCUGAUCCCUGACUGUAACAUUUGAGCUCCUGGUUGUCAUGAGGUAAGCCUGAUUUGUAUGCGUCAACUUAGUACCCAAUAUUAGUGAGAAAAAAAAUCCUAUUUUUUUGCAAGAUGCAAUGUUGAACAGUAUCUCAUUGGAUUGAAAUCAGGUAGAUAAUAAUAUUCUCA